rnacentral:rRNA from 1 species
AUUGAACGCUGGCGGCAUGCCUUACACAUGCAAGUCGAACGGCAGCGGGGGAGAAGCUUGCUUUUCCUGCCGGCGAGUGGCGAACGGGUGAGUAAUACAUCGGAACGUGCCCUGUAGUGGGGGAUAACUAGUCGAAAGAUUAGCUAAUACCGCAUCAGACCUGAGGAUGAAAGUGGGGGACCGCAAGGCCUCAUGCUAUAGGAGCGGCCGGUGUCUGAUUAGCUAGUUGGUGGGGUAAAGGCCUACCAAGGCGACGAUCAGUAGCUGGUCUGAGAGGACGAUCAGCCACACUGGGACUGAGACACGGCCCAGACUCCUACGGGAGGCAGCAGUGGGGAAUUUUGGACAAUGGGCGAAAGCCUGAUCCAGCAAUGCCGCGUGUGUGAAGAAGGCCUUCGGGUUGUAAAGCACUUUUGUCCAGAAAGAAAUGGCUCUGGUUAAUACCUGGGGUCGAUGACGGUACCGGAAGAAUAAGGACCGGCUAACUACGUGCCAGCCGCCGCGGUAACAC